rnacentral:lncRNA from 1 species
UGCUUUGUAAUGUUCAGAUUUGAGUAGUGCUUGAAACUUGUUCAGUUUCAGACUUGUGCUUGAUUAAUAGUACUUAUGUUGUUCAUCUCAGAGUACUAGAAUUAUGUCUUGUAACCUCCCCCUAUUUGCAUAUGUGUGAUGUAUGUUUUGUAGCAUUUUUGUUAACUUUGUUCAUGUGAAAACAUAUAUGUUUGUGUUGUGAUAUAUUUUUGUCCCUAUCAUAUUAGCUUGUUUCUUUCCUUCUGUCGUUGCUAGUUAUAUAUGUGUGAGUGUUUGUGUUGUGAGAGUUGUACUGUUACAUUGUGACUCUCAUUUAGAAUGUAUGAGUACUAGCUAUAUACGUCAUAUAUAUUCUGUUCAUGUAUGAUAGUUAUAUGUGUUCUUGUCUA